UACGUAGGUGGCGAGCGUUGUCCGGAUUUACUGGGCGUAAAGAGCGCGCAGGCGGUCGUACAAGUCGCGUGUGAAAGCCCCCGGCUCAACUGGGGAGGGUCACGCGAUACUGUUCGACUCGAAGGCAGGAGAGGGUAGUGGAAUUCCCGGUGUAGUGGUGAAAUGCGUAGAUAUCAGGAGGAACACCGAUGGCGAAGGCAGGUCUCUGGGCCAUUACUGACACUGAGAAGCGAAAGCAUGGGGAGCGAACAGG
rnacentral:rRNA from 1 species